rnacentral:rRNA from 1 species
UACGGAGGGGGCUAGCGUUGUUCGGAAUUACUGGGCGUAAAGCGCACGUAGGCGGCUUUGUAAGUUAGAGGUGAAAGCCCGGGGCUCAACUCCGGAAUUGCCUUUAAGACUGCAUCGCUAGAAUUGUGGAGAGGUAAGUGAAUUCCGAGUGUAGAGGUGAAAUUCGUAGAUAUUCGGAAGAACACCAGUGGCGAAGGCGACUUACUGGACACAUAUCGACGCUGAGGUGCGAAAGCGUGGGGAGCAAACAGG